rnacentral:rRNA from 1 species
CCUACGGGGGGCAGCAGUGGGGAAUAUUGGACAAUGGGGGCAACCCUGAUCCAGCCAUGCCGCGUGUGUGAAGAAGGCCCUCGGGUUGUAAAGCACUUUCAGUGAGGAAGAACGCCUGGUGGUUAAUACCCAUCAGGAAAGACAUCACUCACAGAAGAAGCACCGGCUAACUCCGUGCCAGCAGCCGUGGUAAUACGGAGGGUGCGAGCGUUAAUCGGAAUUACUGGGCGUAAAGCGCGCGUAGGUGGCUUGAUAAGCCGGUUGUGAAAGCCCCGGGCUCAACCUGGGAACGGCAUCCGGAACUGUCAAGCUAGAGUGCAGGAGAGGAAGGUAGAAUUCCCGGUGUAGCGGUGAAAUGCGUAGAGAUCGGGAGGAAUACCAGUGGCGAAGGCGGCCUUCUGGACUGACACUGACACUGAGGUGCGAAAGCGUGGGUAGCAAACAGGAUUAGAUACCCUUGUAGUC